CGCGCAGGCGGCCUUUUAAGUUGGAUGUGAAAGCCUAUGGCUCAACCAUAGAACUGCAUCCAAAACUAUCAGGCUGGAGUGUGGGAGAGGAAGAUGGAAUUAGUUGUGUAGGGGUAAAAUCCGUAGAGAUAACUAGGAAUACCAAAAGCGAAGGCAAUCUUCUGGAACAUUACUGACGCUGAGGCGCGAAAGCGUGGGGAGCAAACAGGAUUAGAUACCCUGGUAGUCC
rnacentral:rRNA from 1 species